GCAUAUUUCUCUGCCCGAGCUUGCAUUUUUGAAAAAUCUUGGGGAAAGGUCUUCAACAACAAUUUUUUGAAGUUGCCCAUCAACAAUCCACCCUUCAGGGUGGACAUUACGAUCGAGUGAUCUAGGUCGCAAUCUUUCAAUAUAGCUCUGUUGAAUCGAGCUAUGUAAGAUCGAAUGGACUCGCCCUCCUUCUGUUUGAUGGUCUGGAGGUAGUCUGGGUGUUUAUAUUAUCACCAGCUGGUGAUGAAGUGGGCAGCAAAGAUUUGACUCAGC
rnacentral:lncRNA from 1 species